rnacentral:rRNA from 1 species
GACGAACGCUGGCGGCGUGCCUAAUACAUGCAAGUCGAGCGAAGUUUUUCUGGUGCUUGCCCUAGAAAAACUUAGCGGCGAACGGGUGAGUAACACGUAAAGAACCUGCCUCAUAGACUGGGACAACUAUUGGAAACGAUAGCUAAUACCGGAUAACAGUAUUUCUCGCAUGAGAGGUAUUUAAAAGUUGGUUAUGCUAACACUAUGAGAUGGCUUUGCGGUGCAUUAGCUAGUUGGUGGGGUAAAGGCCCACCAAGGCGACGAUGCAUAGCCGACCUGAGAGGGUGAUCGGCCACACUGGGACUGAGACACGGCCCAGACUCCUACGGGAGGCAGCAGUAGGGAAUCUUCCGCAAUGGGCGAAAGCCUGACGGAGCAACGCCGCGUGAGUGAAGAAGGAUUUCGGUUCGUAAAGCUCUGUUGUUAGGGAAGAAUGGAUAUGUAGUAACUAUACAUGUAAGAGACGGUACCUAACCAGAAAGCCACGGCUAACUACGUG